rnacentral:rRNA from 1 species
AUUGAACGCUGGCGGCAGGCUUAACACAUGCAAGUCGAGCGGGGGAGGGUAGCUUGCUACCUAACCUAGCGGCGGACGGGUGAGUAAUGCUUAGGAAUCUGCCUAUUAGUGGGGGACAACAUUCCGAAAGGAAUGCUAAUACCGCAUACGCCCUACGGGGGAAAGCAGGGGAUCUUCGGACCUUGCGCUAAUAGAUGAGCCUAAGUCGGAUUAGCUAGUUGGUGGGGUAAAGGCCUACCAAGGCGACGAUCUGUAGCGGGUCUGAGAGGAUGAUCUGCCACACUGGGACUGAGACACGGCCCAGACUCCUACGGGAGGCAGCAGUGGGGAAUUGUUCGCAAUGGGCGCAAGCCUGACGACGCAACGCCGCGUGGAGGAUGAAGAUCUUCGGGUCGUAAACUCCUUUCGAUCGAGACGAACGGCUCCUGGGCUAAUCACCAGGAGAGUGACGGUACCGAGAGAAGAAGCCCCGGCUAACUCCGUGCCAGCCGCCGCAGUAAGAC